rnacentral:rRNA from 1 species
GGUAACGUGGGGCGGGGGACGGGAGUAGUAGGGAGGUUGGAGGCGGUCCUGGUGUUGACUGGGCUGAAAGGGUGCGUGUGUGGGUUGUGAGGUCUGAGGCGAAAGCCCUGGGCUCAACCUGGGAAUUGCAGUGGAUACUGGCAUGCUAGAGUGCGGUAGAGGGUAGUGGAAUUCACGGUGUAGCAGUGAAAUGCGUAGUGAUCGGGAGGAACAUCCGUGGCGAAGGCGACUACCUGGACCAGUACUGACACUGAGGCACGAAAGCGUGGGGAGCAAACAGGAUUAGAUACCCGUGUAGUC